UNUGACUUGAGUGCAGAAGGGGAGAGUGGAAUNCCAUGUGUAGCGGUGAAAUGCGUAGAUAUAUGGAGGAACACCAGUGGCGAAAGCGGCUCUCUGGUCUGUCACUGACGCUGAGGCUCGAAAGCGUGGGUAGCGAACAGGAUUAGAUACCCUGGUAGUNCACGCCGUAAACGAUGAGUGCUAGGUGUUAGGCCCUUUCCGGGGCUUAGUGCCGGAGCUAACGCAAUAAGCACUCCGCCUGGGGAGUACGACCGCAAGGUUGAAACUCAAAGGAAUUGACGGGGGCCCGCACAAGCGGUGGAGCAUGUGGUUUAAUUCGAAGCAACGCGAAGAACCUUACCAGGUCUUGACAUCCCGAUGCUAUUCUUAGAGAUAGGAAGUUACUUCGGUACAUCGGAGACAGGUGGUGCAUGGUUGUCGUCAGCUCGUGUCGUGAGAUGUUGGGUUAAGUCCCGCAACGAGCGCAACCCUUAUAGUUAGUUGCCAUCAUUAAGUUGGGCACUCUAGCGAGACUGCCGGUAAUAAACCGGAGGAAGGUGGGGAUGACGUCAAAUCAUCAUGCCCCUUAUGACCUGGGCUACACACGUGCUACAAUGGUCGGUACAACGAGUUGCGAGCCGGUGACGGCAAGCUAAUCUCUGAAAGCCGAUCUCAGUUCGGAUUGGAGGCUGCAACUCGCCUCCAUGAAGUCGGAAUCGCUAGUAAUCGCGGAUCAGCACGCCGCGGUGAAUACGUUCCCGGGCCUUGUACACACCGCCCGUCACACCACGAGAGUUUGUAACACCCGAAGUCGG
rnacentral:rRNA from 1 species